rnacentral:misc_RNA from 1 species
UCCGGUUUGUCACCGGCGGUCUCCUUAGAGUUCCCAACUUAAUGAUGGCAACUAAGGACAAGGGUUGCGCUCGUUGCGGGACUUAACCCAACAUCUCACGACACGAGCUGACGACAGCCAUGCAGCACCUGUACUGGUGUCCCGAAGGAGGCCCCGUGUUUCCACGGGUUUCACCCUGCAUGUCAAGCCCAGGUAAGGUUCUUCGCGUCGCAUCGAAUUAAGCCGCAUGCUCCGCCGCUUGUGCGGGCCCCCGUCAAUUUCUUUGAGUUUUAGCCUUGCGGCCGUACUCCCCAGGCGGGGCACUUAAUGCGUUAGCUACGGCACAGAUCCCGUUGGUUGAGACCCACACCUAGUGCCCAACGUUUACGGCGUGGACUAC